CAGGGAUUGAACUCAGGUCCUUGCACUUGUGCAGCAGGUGGCGAAACCACUGAGCUAAAUCCCCGGGCUUCGGCUGACCUUUUUAAAAAGUUUGAUGCCUGAUCAUAUUCCAUGAAACCUUUGAAUACUUUUUUUUGGGUACCAGGUAUCAAACUCAGGACCUUGGCUUUUGAAGCAGGAAGCAGCACCACUGAGCUACAUUCCUGGCCCAAACCUUUAAAUACUUUAAGGAGUGAUUACUCCACCUCCUAAGUACCAUCCACACCCAGGGCUGCUAUAACAAAUCACUGUCGCUGGUGGCUUACGAUAGCAGAGUGAGUUCCUUCCACAGGCUCUGAGGGACCUUCGUUUGCUCCAUGACUAUCUCAUGGCUCCCAGUGGCUGCUGGUGAUCCUGCCAUUGCAGGAUAAUCCCGAGAUUCUUGCUCCCAGCACAGAUUCGCGAGGGGAAGGAAUGAGUUUAGCCAAGACCAACAGGAAGCUGGACGGCCGCCCCAUGGCCAGGAGAAGCCAGGGGUUUCACCCCAGCUCCCUCUGCGCCUGUUGGCGCUGCUCCCCAGCCCACUGAACACGCCUACUUUGGAUUGCUGUGAACACGACCACCGUUCACCACUGGCCCGCCUGGCGACUGCCUCUCCACACUGCGUCCUGUCCCAGAGGUGGGCGCUUGCAGGAGAGGACUCGGUGGCUGCACUUCCUGUCCUCCCCUGUGAGUCUCAGGAAGCUUGAGCAUCCCCAGUGGGUCCCAGGAAGACAUAGAUUCAAACAUUUAUCUGAACGUCUCCCAACUGCCGAUGGCUGCACGGCCUGCAGGCUUUCUGCUUCCUUUCACUUCCUCUCCUCCCAAGUCCUCUGGUGCCUCUGUCCCUGUCACGUCCCAGGGGAUGCGGGACGGGAAGCCGCCCUGGCCUGGAGCUGUGGCCCGGUCCUGGUUCUGUGGCUGCCACCUCAUCUUCCUUCCCCAUCUUCCUGGGCACUCUGUGCCUCUGGCCGAUUUGCCAGGUGUCCUAUUGCUUGGAAGUGUUCAGGGGAAAGUCAGGACCGCCCAAGGCAGGCUGUGAGGAGCUAACCCCACGACUGGUUGUUUAUAGCAGUGAGCCUGGCCGAAGCCUACGUGCCCAGGUCAGAGUAACUCGCACCCAAACCCCGUUCCCACAACUAAAACCUUCAGACUAGAAGGACAAUGUUCUAAUUACAACCAUAUAUUUUGUGUAUUCUGUUCCUGAUUAGAGAACACUUUAUUUUGUCCUUUAUGGGCCUUGUUUACCUUAAUUUCCAUAGAACCUGCACGUGGCUCACCUUUCACCCAAUUGAUUGCCUGGGACUGGCCAGGGCCUGUGUCGGUUGCACUGGCAUUGGUUGUCCUGGCCCCGCUUUCUCUCCUAGCUCUGUCUCUUAGUGUAUUUAUUUCUCAGGCCUGCAUCGCACACUGGGCAGGUGGGGACUAGGAACUUACUGCAGGAAUCUGGCAGUUCGGCACAUGUAAAAUGUGAGCUCAGAAAGCAUCUUGCUACGUUGCCCAGCUUGGGCUUGACCUCGUGCUCCUCCUGCCUCGGCCUCCCAGAAAGCUGGGAUUGCAAGUGACUCACCAACACUAAACAGGCAUCCCUAUCAAAUCAAAGCUCAGGGACCCAGCACAAGAAGGCCCUGGACUGCGGCUGGUGUCCUCAUGGUCCCAUGCGCUGCUGGAAGCCGGGGUUCAUGUGAACUCGCUCACCGUGCGGCCAGUCCGUGGCUUCCUUCCUCCUGCAGUGCCCUCGGCCUCUUAGCUGAGCUCUUACUCGGGCCGGUGGGAGGUGAGGCUCUCAGUUCGCUCCACUGAGCCCUUCCUUGCAGGAGUGUGUGAGGGGAAGCUGUGUCCUUUCCCCUACACAGGAGGAACAGGCUCAGAGGUUCAGCGCCUUCUGAGUCACACGGGGAAGUAGGGCGAGUCGGGGCACAAACUAUACCCUGGGUUACGUAAGACUGCUGGGCUCCAGCCGCGUCACCCUGCGGGCCCAGAGCAACCUGAGGCCUCAUCCUGGCCUGGCCUGGCCCCGGCACCCGGCAGGCGUCCCCUGCCCUGCAUACAUGCCCUGUCCGCUUCUGGGAGCCUCGGGUCCCUCCGCCUCGGUUGUUCCUGGGUCUCAGUCUGACACAUGGGGAUCAAAACACGUGGCGGCGGUGAUUGUUCACAUGUUUAAGGAUCUAUUGCAGUAGAAGCCACUGCCAUAAUUCUCCUUGGAGCACCCGUCGCUUCCAACGCAGGAUCCUGUCGCUAUUGCUCCUCUCUGCAGCCGCUCUGGAAGCUUCUUUCAUGGGUGUGUUUACAAGGAGUGAUCAAAAACAGGCCGACUGCUGCCGCCCAGCGCCAUGCGAUGGAGGUGGGACGUAACAGCGGGCCUGGGCCCUCACCCUCCUCAUUCAUGGAGCUGGCGCCGGGCGCCGGGUGACGGGUGACGGGUGACGGAGGCAGCAAGAACCGGGCAGCUAGAGACGUUCAGGAGAGAGGGCUCCAGAGGGGCUGCAGGAGCGGCACCCUAAGGACCAGGGAUUUCGAAGGAGGGGGGAGGAUCCGCCUUGUGUCUCUUACGGUGAUAAACUUAAAUUUAAUAAAUGUCAUAAGCGUAAAUUUAGUCCUCCGCGGGCCGUGUGACCUUGCCCUCCGCCAAGGGCAACCAGCUGGGCCCCGUGGCUCCCAGCCCCGCGCGCCCGGGGGCGGUGGCCCGGCC
rnacentral:lncRNA from 1 species